CAGGCCUAACACAUGCAAGUCGAGGGGUAACAGAGGGUGCUUGCACCUUGCUGACGACCGGCGCACGGGUGCGUAACGCGUAUGCAACCUACCUUCCACAGGGGGAUAGCCCAGAGAAAUUUGGAUUAAUACCCCAUACGAUCAUUGUUUAGCAUUAAACAGUGAGGAAAACCUUGGUGGUGGAAGAUGGGCAUGCGUCCUAUUAGUUAGUUGGUGAGGUAACGGCUCACCAAGACGUCGAUAGGUAGGGGCCCUGAGAGGGGGAUCCCCCACACUGGUACUGAGACACGGACCAGACUCCUACGGGAGGCAGCAGUGAGGAAUAUUGGACAAUGGAGGCAACUCUGAUCCAGCCAUGCCGCGUGCAGGAAGACUGCCCUAUGGGUUGUAAACUGCUUUUAUACAGGAAGAAUCGGUGCUACGUGUAGUGCUUUGACGGUACUGUAAGAAUAAGGAUCGGCUAACUCCGUGCCAGCAGCCGCGGUAAUACGGAGGAUCCAAGCGUUAUCCGGAAUCAUUGGGUUUAAAGGGUCCGUAGGUGGUUGAUUAAGUCAGAGGUGAAAGCCUAUCGCUCAACGAUAGAACUGCCUUUGAUACUGAUUGACUUGAGUUAUUGUGAAGUAGUUAGAAUAUGUAGUGUAGCGGUGAA
rnacentral:rRNA from 1 species